rnacentral:rRNA from 1 species
UACGGGGGGAGCAAACGUUGUUCGGAAUCACUGGGCGUAAAGGGCGCGUAGGCGGCUUUAUAAGUGAGGUGUUAAAUCCCCCGGCUCAACCGGGGACCUGCACUUCAUACUGUUUAGCUUGAGUACAGCAGAGGAGACUGGAAUUCCCGGUGUAGCGGUGAAAUUCGUAGAUAUCGGGAGGAACACCAGUGGCGAAGGCGGCUUCCUGGACAUUUACUGACGCUGAGACGCGAAAGCGUGGGGAGCAAACAGG